UACGGGGGGAGCAAGCGUUGUUCGGAUUUACUGGGCGUAAAGGGCGCGUAGGCGGUCGUGACAAGUCACUUGUGAAAUCUCCGGGCUUAACUCGGAACGGUCAAGUGAUACUGUCGGACUAGAGUACAGAAGGGGCAACUGGAAUUCUCGGUGUAGCGGUGAAAUGCGUAGAUAUCGAGAGGAACACCUGCGGCGAAGGCGGGUUGCUGGGCUGAUACUGACGCUCAUGUGCGAAAGCGUGGGGAGCAAACAGG
rnacentral:rRNA from 1 species